AGGACGAACGCUGGCGGCGUGCUUAACACAUGCAAGUCGUGGGGGGGUAGCAAUACCUCACCGGCGAACGGGUGCGUAACACGUGAGCAACAUUCCGAUUUCGUGGGGGAUAGCCGGCCCAACGGCCCGGUAAUACCGCAUACGCUCAUUGAGAGGAGUCUCUCGAUGAGGAAACCUCCGGGGAAAUCGAGUGGCUCGCGGCCUAUCAGCUAGUUGGCGGGGUAAUCGGCCCACCAAGGCAAUGACGGGUAGCUGGUCUGAGAGGAUGGCCAGCCACAGUUGGACUGAGAACGGCCAGACUCCGUACGGGAGGCAGCGAGGUGGGGAAUCUUG
rnacentral:rRNA from 1 species